rnacentral:rRNA from 1 species
AUUGAACGCUGGCGGCAGGCCUAACACAUGCAAGUCGAACGAGUGGCGGACGGGUGAGUAAUGUCUGGGAAACUGCCCGAUGGAGGGGGAUAACUACUGGAAACGGUAGCUAAUACCGCAUACCAUCGGAUGUGCCCAGAUGGGAUUAGCUAGUAGGUGGGGUAACGGCUCACCUAGGCGACGAUCCCUAACUGGUCUGAGUGGAUGACCAGCCACACUGGAACUAAGCAACGGUCCAGACUCAUACGGGAGCAAGCAGUGGGGAAUAUUGCACAAUGGGCGCAAGCCUGAUGAAGCCAGGCCGCGUGUAUGAAGAAGGCCUUCGGGUUGUAAAGUACUUUCAGCGAGGAGGCGUUACUCGCAGAAGAAGCACCGGCUAACUCCGUGCCAUCAGCCGCGGUAAUUC